UGGGAUAUGGCUUGGAAACUAAAAGUGAACCUGACCGUGAAACUGGCGAAAUAAUUACGAGCAGAAAAGUGCAUCAAGAACGAGGAGAAGAAGAACACCAGCAGAGGGCUUCAGUCGCUUCAAUGGCUGGCGCGUCUCAUCUGAUUACUACUCCUCCUCGAGGAGGCUUCAGCUUUCUCACUUUUUCUUCUCAACCUCACAAUCUCCCGCAUUUUCACAUCCCCAAUUCUUGCGCUUUCUUCACCACCAGCUCAGCAGCAAAUCAAGAAUCGACUUUUAUGGCCCCAGAAAAGUUGGGAAGACCACUAAGGUUCGAGCCAUGGCGGCUUCUUUCGGGUCCCGAUUAGAGGAGACUGUGAAAAGCAAACAUUUAUAUCUUUGCCGACGUGGAAAGUAUAAAAGCUGCAGGAAUUGGGCUAAGUUGCAAAAUCUCGAAUCUUUGUACCUCGAUGAUAACAACUUCAACAACAGUAUAAUUCCAUGUAUAACUGCAAUUACUGAACUUAAAAGGCUGUCUCUCCGUUAUUUGGGUUUAGAGGGAUCGUUUCCUAUAGAAGGUAUAUUCACUUGCUAUCUAUAAUUCUUAUAUGAGACUUUCUUUAACCUUUUUACACAAUUUUCUUUGACUUUGCGUCUGUUCUAUUUUUUGCUUUUCUACUUCAUUUGUUUUGGGUCCUGUUCAGCACAUAAAAAUUAAUGAAUAUCUAAACUUGGAAUGAUUCAGCAAUAUUUAUAUGUAAUCUAUUUCAAUUAAUAGCUCCUAAAUGUGAACUUUAUUGGGUUGGGUUGGGUAAAUUGGGUGUUGGGUUAAUUUUGGAUUGAGUAAUAAAAACCCAUACAUAUUUUGGACGGGUUUGGGUAAUUAAGUUGGGUACCCAUUACCCAACUUAAAAAACAAAUAAACCUCCACCACCACCAGCUUCGCACCUGUAUGUUAGGGGUAGUAAAUGGAUUCACCUGUAUGUUGUCUAUUGGAGUAACUCCUGGAUAGAUUGUCAGUGUUGUGAAAACUUUGCUUUAGCAAAUUUAGAUCUUAGACAAAUUGCUUUUAUCCUACAAACAAUUUUGUACGUAUUCUAUGUCUUUUUGGGUAAUUUUCGUAUGUACUUUUAGCCUUUUACGUUUGGUGAUCUUGAGCUCCUAAGCCUCGAGGAGUACUUCUCUCUAAUCUCCAAAAAUCCAGGAUUGAAAUAUUGAGUAUUUAGGCAGCUUCAGUUCUCAGUUCAACAGAUUUUUUCUUUUUCGUUCAUUGCUUUAAUUUGGAAGCUACAACCUGUAUGGAUAAUUCUAAAUAUGUGCCAUAUGAACAUGGUUGUUCGAAUGUUUUCGUGAUUAGGUAUUCUUCUUGUUGCUUUUAAAAAUUUUUUGUAUGUAAAAAUAUAUUUAAGAGAAUUUAUGUAUCAAAAUUUAUUAAUUAAUAUAUUGGGUCAUAUUUGGGUCAUGGGUUUGAGAUAACCCAAAAUGACCCAACCCAAAAGUAACCCAAUUUAAAGUUGGGCGGAUUGGGUAUAACCCAUUUAAAUAAAAAUCCAAUAUCAAUCCGCCCAAAACCGCCCAACCCGCCCAAUUGCUAGGUCUACUUGUGAGGAAAACCCUUUUUUGCCAUUACAACAUGGAAUAAAAAGUUUCUUUCUAUCCGGAAAAAAAACAAUCCAUAUUUGGUGAGGGUGUGCACGGAGGGUUGGGCUUCCAUCCCACAUCGGAAGAUCGUAGGGUCUUCAUCCUAGGUUUAAAGUCCAUGGGGUGCCCGUCCUAUCACCAAUUGGCUAGAUCGGAUUGCUCUGUGGGUCUCCCUUCGACUGCUUGUUUAUCGGGCCGGUUUAUCCGUUAACUCUCGUGCUUAGUCUAAUUAAGUGUGUGUGUGUUUCUUUCUAUCCGGAAAAAAAAAA